rnacentral:rRNA from 1 species
UAGGUUUGAUCCUGGCUCAGGACGAACGCUGGCGGCGUGCUUAACACAUGCAAGUCGAACGGGGAUACCGUUGGAAGUCCUUCGGGGCGGAAGAUGGUAUUCCAGUGGCGACGGGUGAGUAACGCGUGAACAAUCUGUCCCGGACAGGGGAAUAACACUUGGAAACAGGUGCUAAUACCGCAUGAGACCACGGUAUCGCAUGGUACAGGGGUAAAAGGAGGAAUCCGGUUCGGGGUGAGUUCGCGUCCGAUUAGAUAGUUGGUGAGGUAACGGCCCACCAAGUCGACGAUCGGUAGCCGACCUGAGAGGGUGAUCGGCCACAUUGGAACUGAGAGACGGUCCAAACUCCUACGGGAGGCAGCAGUGGGGAAUAUUGGGCAAUGGGCGAAAGCCUGACCCAGCAACGCCGCGUGAGCGAAGAAGGCUUUCGGGUUGUAAAGCUCUGUUAUAGGGGACGAAGGAAGUGACGGUACCCUAUAAGGAAGCCCCGGCUAACUACGUGCC